GCGCGAUUAGCUCAAUGGUAGAGCGUUUCCUCGACACGGAAAAGGCUGAAGGUCCGAUUCCUUCAUCGCGCA
rnacentral:tRNA from 1 species